GAUGAACGCUAGCGGCAGGCCUAAUACAUGCAAGUCGAACGAGGAAAGCUUUCGGGUGAGUACUAGUGGCGCACGGGUGAGGAACGCGUGGAUAAUCUGCCUUAGAGUGGGGGAUAACUAGUCGAAAGAUUAGCUAAUACCGCAUAAGACCACAAGAUCUGCGGAUCAAGGGGUCAAAGGUUUUUCGCUCUAAGAUGAGU
rnacentral:rRNA from 1 species